UAUUAGCUUUUUAUGACAAGAACGCACAAGUAAUUUAAGAUACUAUUGAUACUAACGAAUAACAUUAAACCCAUAUGAUUGUAUAAGUCAGAUCACAAAUACGUAUUAGACAUCUAUACUUAAAUAUUAAUAAUUAGAGAGAUGACCAAUGUAAAAAAUUUAGGUAAUGAAAAUGUAUGUAAUUACCUAUGCGGUUAUUAUCUGUUUUUAAUAUUUGUUUUUUGUUACAAAUUCAACAGUUAUCUGAACCACAAUGAAAAAUGACACUUAUAAGUUUUAUUAGACAUGACGUGUUCACCUAAUUUUGUGAUUUAACCGGUCAUCUAUGAAAAUUAUACAGUUGGAGAAAAAUUGAGACAACAUAUCCGAUGUCGAAAACAAAAUGGAAGUUAUACGCGAUAACAGACGGAAGCCAUGCCCAUAAAAGGCGGAACCGGUUUUUGCUACACGACUGCACUAUCGCAUUAGUAUCUCAAUUGAGCUGCAGCACUUAGGAUGGUCACUGGUCAGUAGUAUAUUUUUCACCAAGCAACCAAAUUAGCUAUCACCUUUUUUUUUUAAAUUUACUUAACAGUUUUAAUAUUAUUUUAUAUAUUUACUACACUAUAUUUUAUCGAUAACUUAUCAAAAAUGGGAUAUUCAGACAGAAAAUGGAUAAAAAAAAAGUCCGUGAGUACCUAUAAA